CCUACGGGAGGCAGCAGUGAGGAAUAUUGGUCAAUGCCCGAAAGGUUGACCAGGCAAAGCCGCGGGAAGGCCGAAGUUGCAAAGCUUUGAAACCUUCUUUUGUAAAGGGAAAAAUCAGGCCCGAGAGCCUGACCGAGGGUACUUGAAGAAAAAGCAUCCGCUAACUCCGGGCCAGCAGCCGCGGGAAUACGGAGGAUGCGAGCGUUAUCCGGAGUUAUUGGGUUUAAAGGGUGCGUAGGCGGACUGUUAAGUCAGCGGUAAAAGCCCGGGGCUCAACCCCGGCGAGCCGUUGAAACUGGCUGUCUUGAGAUGUCGAGAGGUAUGCGGAAUGCGCAGUGUAGCGGUGAAAUGCUUAGAUAUUGCGCAGAACUCCGAUUGCGAAGGCAGCAUACCGGCGGCGAUCUGACGCUGAGGCACGAAAGCGUGGGUAUCGAACAGGAUUAGAUACCCUUGUAGUC
rnacentral:rRNA from 1 species